rnacentral:lncRNA from 1 species
CAUCAGCAAUCUGCAUCCUCCUCCUUCCAUAUCCUCCGCCUCCGCCCCUUCUGUUCUCCCAACAAGCGUCUGCCUCAUUUCCACCCGCCCGCUUUUCACCCGUCAAUAUGCACCGUCAAUGCUGACCAGGCGGCGCCGCCUCCUUCGCCUUCUCCAAAUGAAACCGCCAUUUCUUCCCGUCUGUCCUCUUGCACCACCCGGGCUCCAGAUCUCCUUUUCUGCUGUAUCUACUACCGCCUGAAACAAUUUAUGAGUUCAGUUAAUAAUAUGCAGAGAUUGGAUGUGGAAUGGUAUGGGAGAAUGAAAAAUAUUUAUAUAUGUGCAUUUACAGGGGAAAGAGAAGAUGAGGCGGCACAGGAACACAGGAAAUCAUGCAUGUGUAGAUCAUAGCUUGUCUCUCCAGUUCGUUCCAUUGUGCACCUGUGAAUGCAACUUCUCCACCUGAAUCAUCCAUCCUUCUAAAUCAAGACAAAAUAAAAAAAUAAUACUAAAAAAUAAAUCAUGAUCGUUUACCUCCUAUAUAAACUGUAAUUGUGAAGUCCAUUUUUCAGCAAAAUCAAAUUCCUUGCUUUUAUUUCCAGUGAUGAAUCUUCUUAUCACCAGAAAAGUAUAAAAAAAAAGUAUCUAAACUCAGACACUGCAAAAAAAGAUGUGUCUUCGACAAGAAAAAGUAAGAUAAAAUUCCACAACCUCACUCAAUAAGAAUUCCUCUCACCUUAAACAAUGUUUUUCCCAUUUCAUAUUCAACCACUGUAAGAAACCAUCGCCAUGAGUGGAAGCUUCCGGAAUUCCCGACAGCCGGAAAGUUGGCCGUCCGGACAGGAGUAGUGGAUUUAUCUUCCUGUUAAUCGAUCCGGCUUGCUUCCUCCGAUCAGAUCUCUGGUUUGUUCCUUCAAUCUUCAAAAAACACCCACGGCUCAACCAUGGACGCCCCAAAUCCAUCAGCAAUCUACAUCCUCCUCCCAUAUCCUCCGUCUCCGCCCCUUCUGUUCCCCCAACAAGCGUCUGCCUCAUUUCCCACCCGCCCGCUUUUCACCCGUCAAUUCGCCUUCUCCAAAUGAAAUCCUCGGUGGCCAGCGAAAGAGAGGGGAAGGGAGAAGGCGGCCGAGAGGCGUCUCUCAAACCCUAGUGUCCUACCCUUCCUUUUACUUCAGCCCAAGUGUCCACCCAACGGUCAUAAGUUCUGCACUCUCAGUGGCCAAAGAUUACUACAUUUAAAUUUUCGGCCCAACAGCCCAAACUCGCAUCUUAACUCAGCCCGCUUUUUCUCCUCUUCAGCCUAUUUUAAAUUUAAAUUAAAUAAGAACAAAAUUCAAAUUAAAUAGACAACUAAUAAUAAUAAUAACAAUAAUAAAUUACUUGUAAAUUAUUUACAUAAUUAUUUUUUAAAAAAAUAAAAAAAAUCUCUCUCCUCAAUCUUCUUUUUGGAAUAAAUUUUGCCUUUUCAUAAUAUUAAUUUCUAUUAUUGCAAACUCUUCUUUACUUUCUUUUUUCAAUAUUCAGCUCAUAUACAGUCAGUUAAAAUUUAAUUUUUAUUACAUUAAUUAAUAAAUAUGAUAAUUCAGUUGGUAUAUAUUUUAUAUAAAUACAAAAAUACAAAAAUAUUUUCAGGGUGGAAUUGCUAAUUAUUUUUUUACUUGUGAAUAAUUUUGUUUCAAUUUAUUAUGUUUUUCUCUAUAGUGUACAAUUAUUUUCUAUUUUUGUGUUAUUUUCUUCUCUUUAUUUAUUUAAAUUAAUAACUAUGAUAAAAAUUAUAAGUUAAUAAGUUAAUAAAUAUUAUAAAUAAAUUAUGACCAUGUCAGUUUUAAAAAUAAGAGUAGUGAUUAAUUACUUUAGUAUUUAUUUUUUCAAAAUAUGUUGAAAAUCAUUGAAUUUUAAAUUAAAAUCAUGAAGAUUAUGUGUAAAUUAUUUACAUAAUUGUUCUUAAAAGUAUUUUAAGUGUGUGUAGAUUAGUAUAAAAGUAAUAAAGUAGGAGAGAGAAGGUGAUAAAGUAUGAGAGAGAAGAUAAUAAAAUGAUAAAGUGGGAGAGAGAAUGUGAUAAAGUAGGAGAGAGAAUGUAAUAAAGUGAUAAAGUAGGAGAGAUAAUGUGAUAAAGUAGUGAUUGAAUGUGAUAAAUAUUUCCAUUUAGAAAAGUGACCAACAAUAGUCGGACAAACAAAAAACAAAUGCAGCCAAACAAUAUAAAAAAAGAGGGAGUAAUGUUUAUUUGUUAAUUUAAUUUAGGAAUAAAAUAAGAAAUGUAAUGUAAUUGCAAGUAUAUAUAUGAACUUCAAUCAAUAAUAUUGACAUCAAUUAAUAGGUUAAAAUAAAAUAAUAGUAUUAGUCUUAGGUUAGAAAUUAAAAAAAAAAAAGUAGUAAAAAAAACAUGGAGGCUCAUUAUAAACACAAACAACUUAGCUCAUAAACAAUGAGUCCUUGAAGUUAGAUCUGAAAAUUAAGGCCAAAAUAACUCUCGGUCAAAGGAGAUGGAGUGUAUGGUAAUAAGUUAGACCAUAUAUUCACAUAAACUGCUAUUACCAUAAACGCCCACUAUGUGAUCACUAUCUGCUAUUGCAACCGGUAUGGCUGUUGCUUUGACAACUAUGAUGACAAAAAUUGGGUAAAAACCCUAUCAAGCAAUUGAUAGGGUUCACUCUUAACAUUGCCAAUUAUAAGGUUUAAGACCUAAAGCACAAAUAAUAAUGAGGCUAAGACUCCAUACAUAGUAGUAUUUGUAUCCAAAUCCAGCUACGACUUAAAAUACCAGUCAUUAGCAAUUGUAGCCAUACCACCACAACAUAAUCUUCUAAUACUUCUGAAACUCUUGAUAAAUGAAAAUAAAUGAAUUCGUAAUGAGAUUUGUAUCACCUUCAAAGUGUUGGUGCGCAGACACAUAUUUAACUGCUUCUCUCUCGAGAGAAAAUAGUCUUUAGUUUCCAUUAUACCCAGCAUCUAAACAGAAUGGUAAAUUCUUCAAUCAUGCAAUUUGAGAUUGAAAAACAUCACAAAAGUAAUAGGAAAACAUAAAAGAAAAGUGUACCUCCAUUACAGCUUCAAUCAUAAACUUAUUGUACCGCGAAUAUGUGAUGAGAUCCAUCACGAGCUGAUUAACAUAAUCCUUGUAUGUCGGUUUCUCUUCCUUCAAAAGCUCAAAAACAGAGAGUACCCUAAAAACUGAAAAUAAGGAUUACCAAAGAGAACAGCCAAUUAAAUUAAGGCCACGGAAUUUCAGAAGGGAAAAAAAAGAAAUAUAACAAAACAUACUAUCGUUGAUCCUUUCCCAGAGCUUGGAACGAGGCAUGCGCUUACUCUUUUCCUCUUCGAACUCCUAGGUUAUUGUAUGGAAAUUUAUAAGCACUUUUCAAUUCAUAAGAUAAUACUCCCUCCGUCCACGAAAGAACUUCCUAUCUUUCCUUUUUGGGACGUCCACAAAAGAACUUCCUACCUAUUUUUGGACUAUACCCCACCACUUAUAAUCCUCUUACUUUUCACUUUUCACAACUCCCAAUAUUAAUUUAUAACACCUUUUCACCACUCCUAAUACACUCAACUAUCUUAUAUCCACUCUCAANCCGCUUUUCACCCGUCAAUAUGCACCGUCAAUGCUGACAAGGCGGCGCCGCCUCCUUCGCCUUCUCCAAAUGAAACCGCCAUUUCUUCCCGUCUGUCCUCUUGCACCACCCGGGCUUCGGAUCUCCUUUUCUGCUGUAUCUAAUACCGCCUGAAACAAUUUCUGAGUUCAGUUAAUAAUAUGCA